AGGACGAACGCUGGCGGCGUGCUUAACACAUGCAAGUCGAGCGGUAAGGCCCUUCGGGGUACACGAGCGGCGAACGGGUGAGUAACACGUGGGUGAUCUGCCUCGCACUUCGGGAUAAGCCUGGGAAACUGGGUCUAAUACCGGAUAUGACCAGGGACUGCAUGGUUUUUGGUGGAAAGAUUUAUCGGUGCGAGAUGGGCCCGCGGCCUAUCAGCUUGUUGGUGGGGUAAUGGCCUACCAAGGCGACGACGGGUAGCCGGCCUGAGAGGGCGACCGGCCACACUGGGACUGAGACACGGCCCAGACUCCUACGGGAGGCAGCAGUGGGGAAUAUUGCACAAUGGGCGAAAGCCUGAUGCAGCGACGCCGCGUGAGGGAUGACGGCCUUCGGGUUGUAAACCUCUUUCGACAGGGACGAAGCGCAAGUGACGGUACCUGUAGAAGAAGCACCGGCCAACUACGUGCCAGCAGCCGCGGUAAUACGUAGGGUGCGAGCGUUGUCCGGAAUUACUGGGCGUAAAGAGCUUGUAGGCGGUUUGUCGCGUCGUCUGUGAAAACUCACAGCUCAACUGUGAGCUUGCAGGCGAUACGGGCAGACUUGAGUACUGCAGGGGAGACUGGAAUUCCUGGUGUAGCGGUGAAAUGCGCAUAUAUCAGGAGGAACACCGGUGGCGAAGGCGGG
rnacentral:rRNA from 1 species